CGGCAAUCUUCAAAACAGCAGAAGAAACUGGCACAGUCCUUGCCAUCCAGACACUCAUACCCAUAUUCUUCAUCUCUCUCUUGAAGGUGAAAAAAACUUGAACACAGAAAGAAUAAGGAAUCUGUCCAAGAUAGAAGGUGAAAAAGAUGAGGUACAAGCCUACAAAGUCUGACUUAAACACUACAUUCUGACCCACACUGUUAUAUUCCCUCUCUAUGAAUAUGUACCUAAUAUGCUGCAUGAAGCACCCACCAGCCACUUGGAAGCUAGUGUAUUUUCCUGAUUCAGGAUAAUAACGGAGUGUGGGUCUUCCAUAUUGUCAUUGUAGAAUCUUAGCAAUGGUCUAGUUUCUCAUCUACAAACUGGGAGUGGCAUGGGGAGGGGCAUACCUCAGCAUGUUCUUAUGAAGAUUAAAUUAUGUAAUUUUCAUUAAGUGUCAUUUCCUAGUAAAAUAUCAAUAAAUGUAAGAUAUUUAGAGAAGAAGAGUCUGUUUCUCGAACUAAAAAAACUUCACUCAAGUUGUCCAUGCAAUAAUUCCUGGAGAAGUUAUUAACUAUUUGUAAUUAUACUUGAUAAUAUUUUGGGGGGAGAAUUUAAAAACUAAACUGGCUCCUUGGCCUUCACUCCACAUUCAAGCCUCAAGCCACCCUUGAUCUAUGGAGGAGUGAAAAUGUCAUCAUUUACAGUAGAUACCAUAGACAAGUUUACUUAAGACAAUCUAACAUGUAACUUAAACAUUUAUCUAGCAAGUUGGGACGAUGGAAGUUCAUCACAGUCGUGUAAAAGAAGACUCAUGAAAAACCACUUCAUGGUAUUUUCAGGUUUCUGGUUGGAGCCACAGGGAGUGAAAAGUGGGUGGCAGACGAGUGAUAGUUAUAACUGAUCCACCCACCAACAACAUGAUAGCUGGGGGUGUUUUUUAAGUCCAGUUUUGCUAAGGAAAGAAUUAGACUUACCUGGGUAAGUGAAAAAUAUGCAUAGCUUUUAUCAAUUCCUCCAGUCUUAGCAUCAAGUAAGCUUGCAGGCAUGCUAGCUUUUACUCUGAUUACUCAGGUGAAAAAUACCGACUGGUGUUUUUAUUGUUUCAUACAUCAACACUGAACCAUGAUUAAGGCUUACCAGCUACCACCUGUGUACCAAACUACAUUCAAGAGUUAGAAGCCCCACAAUGACUUCUUCCCAUGCUCUUGUGGUCUGAGCUCAGAAAGCAGAGUCUGAGCCAUAUAGGUAUAUUUAUCUCACUCAUCCAAAACUUGGCUUUAUUCUGUGACAAGAAACUUUAGGUCCACAGGUGUGUAGGGUCAUCUGGUUUAACUCUCGAUUGUAAACACUGGAAAAGGUAAUGUGAUCACACGUUAGAAUCAUCUGGGGAUUUCUUUUUUUUCUUUUUUAAACCUGAUAUGCAAGCCAAGCUCUCAAAAUUUAAAUAAACAUCUUCUGGGAUUGGACUGAGGCAGCUAUAUAAAUGUGCAGUUGAAUUUAAGACACACUGAUCUAGAGAAGGGAGACAGCAUAGUUAACACAGAGAAGCAAUCUCAGCUGCCUACCUUUCCCCACAACUGGCCUUCAACAAGGGCUCACACACACA